UACAGAGGUCUCAAGCGUUGUUCGGAUUCAUUGGGCGUAAAGGGCGCGUAGGCGGCGGGGUAAGUCGGGUGUGAAAUCUCAGAGCUCAACUCUGAAACUGCACUCGAUACUGCUCUGCUUGAGGACUGGAGAGGAGACUGGAAUUCACGGUGUAGCAGUGAAAUGCGUAGAUAUCGUGAGGAAGACCAGUGGCGAAGCGGGUCUCUGGACAGUUCCUGACGCUGAGGCGCGAAGGCCAGGGGAGCCAAAGCGGG
rnacentral:rRNA from 1 species